rnacentral:lncRNA from 1 species
UUUGAGGGGAGGAAUCGUGGAGGAAUUUGGGGGGGGGUCCUGGGGGGUCCUGAGGGCUCCUCUGGGGAUUUGGGGUCCCUCAGCGCCCCCCAACAUGGCGCCGCCCACAGCUCCUCCCGCGCCGCUCUCCCAUUGGCUCCUUCCAGACGGCGAGGGGGGCGUCCCGCUUUUCCGAUUGGCUCCCCCGCGCCGGAAGUGGGCGGGGCGAAGCGAGCGCGGGCUCAUUCGAGCGGCGGAAAUGGCGGCGCCGGCGGCGGAACGCGCGCGGGGGCUCCUGGCGCGGCUCCGGGCCGCUCUGGCGCUGCCUCAGGAGGACGGGGACGUCCCCGCGCGGGUCCUGGCCGAGCACCUGACGGUGAGAGCGCCGAAAUCCGCCGCUUUGGCCCCAAAAACGCCGCGUUCCUCAAGAGCACCCGCAGCUUUUGCCCCGAAGUCCGCGUUAUUUGUCCCAAAAUCUCCUCUGAUUUGUCCUAAGUUCCCUCCUAUUGGUCCCCAAAUCCCAAUUUCCCCCCAUGCUCCCACUUUCACCGCUAUUUUUGCCCUAAAUUGCCUUUUUUGCCCCCAAGUCUUCUCUUAUUUGCCUCCCAAAAUCCCCAUUUCCUCCCGUACUCCCACUUUCACCGCUAUUUUUGCCCCAAAUUGCCCUUUUUUGCCCCAAAUUCCCUCACGUUUGCCCCCCAAUCCCCACUUCCUUACAUAUACGCCCAUUUUCCCCAAUAUUUUUGAUCUAAUUUUUUUUUUUUUGGACCAAAUUCCUCUAUUUUGUCCCAAAUUCCCCAGUGCCCCCCAUACUCCUGCUUUCCCCACCAUUUUUGCCCUAAAUUGCCUUUUUUUUGCCCCCAAAUCUUUUCUUAUUUGCCUCCAAAUCCCCAUUUCCCCCACGAAUUUUGCCCUAAAUUGCCAUUUUUGGCCCCAAAACCCCAUUUAUCCCCUAACUCUUUUCCAUUUGACCCAAACUUCCCAUUUUUGCACACCUACUUUUGCCCAAACCCCCCAAUUUAUGCCCCAAAACGCCCCACUUUGCUCCCCAUUUUCCCCCAAAUCCCUCAGUUUUUGUCCCCAGUUGCCCUCAAUUCCAGCAAAACAAGGAGUUUUUCCCCAAACUUCCAGUUUUUGCCCCAAAUUCCCCCUUUUUGCCCCCG